CCUACGGGAGGCAGCAGUAGGGAAUCUUUCACAAUGGGCGAAAGCCUGAUGGAGCAACGCCGCGUGCAGGAUGAAGGCCUUCGGGUUGUAAACUGCUUUUAUAAGCGAGAAAUAUGAUGGUAACUUAUGAAUAAGGAUCGGCUAACUACGUGCCAGCAGCCGCGGUCAUACGUAGGAUCCGAGCAUUAUCCGGAGUGACUGGGUGUAAAGAGUUGCGUAGGUGGGAUAAUAAGUAGCUAGUGAAAUCUGGUGGCUCAACCAUUCAGACUAUUAGCUAAACUGUUAAGCUCGAGACCGUUAGGGGUAACUGGAAUUUCUAGUGUAGGAGUGAAAUCCGUAGAUAUUAGAAGGAACACCAAUAGCGUAGGCAGGUUGCUGGGACGGUUCUGACACUAAGGCACGAAAGCGUAGGGAGCAAACGGGAUUAGAUACCCCAGUAGUC
rnacentral:rRNA from 1 species